UACGUAGGGGCCUAGCGUUGUCCGGAUUUAUUGGGCGUAAAGAGCUCGUAGGCGGCUGUUCGAGUCGGGUGUGAAAUCCUGAGGCUUAACCUUGGGUCUGCAUUCGAUACUGGGCGGCUUGAGUCUGGUAGGGGGAUCUGGAAUUCCUGGUGUAGCGGUGGAAUGCGCAGAUAUCAGGAGGAACACCAAUUGCGAAGGCAGCUCGCUGGGACGUUACUGACGCUGAGACGCGAAAGCGUGGGGAGCAAACAGG
rnacentral:rRNA from 1 species